ACCCUUGUUUAUUUCUCCUUGUCUUCUUGACACAGUCAUUCUAGUUCUUCUUGACGGUUAGUCUAAGAAAAUGUGGGAAAAUGUACAUCAAGAUAAUGUUGGAAGGUGUCUUAUACUGGUCAAGAGUCCCAGAUGACCGUCCCUUUACAGCAAAUAAUGACAUCCCGGUAUCCUUUUCGACUUUCGUGACUCAUUAUAUUUUCAUUCGCAGAUGUGUUCAGUGCAGGCAAUGCUGUAUGAAUAAAGCCUCUAAUUUUAGCCUCUCUCCUUCUCCCUGGUUGACCUGGAUAUUGGCUUCCAAGGAGCAGCCCAAGUGACUUAACUUGGUUGUCUACACAUCCCAAGUAUUUCAACCAAUUGUCAAAUUUCUGCUACCCGUUGCCCCAUAGCUGUGACUGCCUCACCACUGGGGCUUAAAUUCUGCCCAGGCACAAAGGGCUCAGUGAACUGAAGCCAGAAAAUAGCUCAGGGCAACGGAACAAAUGCCCACGUCUUGGCUCAAGGAGUUGACUUUUAUAGAAGUGAGUACAUUUGUAAGAGUUGUUAUGAUGAAUUGCUCUGACAGUCUUCCAGACAGGGAAAUAGCUGAAGUUUCUUUUCCCAAGGGCUCCUUAAAUCAAACAUUCAAAAUGACCUGGCUUCGACUGGCCCAGAGCAGGAGUCAUAAGAUUGAAAAAGUAAGUGAAUAAAGUUUUAAAGAGAUGGAGAAAACACUGCUCUCUGAAAAUACCCAAUUCAGACCAGUGAUUGAAUAGGAGCUGAGGAUAUGCAUAUUCUAGAAAACUCGUGCUGGUCUGGAAGCCAGCUCUGGGUUGAGCUGCAGUUAGAAGUCAAGCCAUUGCAGACUGCUCCGUCAGGCUUUGCUGUUUGUUAAUGACCUACUUCAAGUUCAGCAGACCGGCACCUCCUUUGACACUGAUUAUACUCCUAGAACUCCUCCAAGUUCACCGUCAGCGGAUCCUGGACAGGUCUGAGGUGGCUUCCAAAACGCGGGGUAAAAGAAGGAAAUUGACAGGUCAGGAUGUUGGGCAGAAACCCGGCAUUUCCAAACUACCUUGCUCUCCCGUUCCCCUCUCUGUUCAGUUCACCUCAAGAGGCUUAAGAAACGAGGAAGGAGGGCCGUCCUGGGGAAAUGACGCGGGAUCUGGGACUGCCCUGCUUCAGCCACGGGCCCACAGCAAACCAAACAGGCCUCGGGGUGCUAUUCAGCCCCUUUGUGACACCGUUUAACUGUUACAUACACAUACAGAAUGAAAAGCGUUUUGACAACGUGGGUGAAAAUAUCUACACAUGUCCUAAAUCAGCCCACGCCGGGUAGCCCUCCUACCCACCCUGCGCCGCCCGCCUCCUCCCGCCGCAAGGCUCAGUCCUCCAUAGCUGAACUUCUUCUCUGAAUUGGCUCCCAGCUGGGAGGGACAGACUGUUUUCAAACCAAGGCCACUUCCAGGAACUCAUCAGUCAAAGAACUGGUCCAGCGUUCUUUCACCAGGGACCAGCGGGCAGGAGGGAGGCAGUGGGAGGGCACUUUUCUGCCUCCUCUGAGUCCGGUGCUUGGUGGUCUCCUGGGUUCUUCAGCGGAACAACAAAAUGGCCGGAAAGCACUUAAAAAAAAUUUCUAUGACAACAUGGUAUGAAUGAGCGCACUUCCUAAGGAAAUGAAACUCCUAAAAGCCUCUGUGACUUGACUGGUGACCUCAAGAGAAGGUUUGUUUUGUUUUGUUUUGUUUCUCAGCUCACUGAUUAUAAACCCAGGUUCUAAACCUAUGACUUAUCUACCCAAUGAACCCGUUAUUUUUUUAACAUGUGAAAUUAUUUGUCACCCCUCCAAUUUAUUUAUUUUUUUAAUAUUCAUCUAACACGAACUUUCUCUCCCUGUGAAAGUCCCUCUUUGUCAUAUGUCCGUCAGUUCACCACUCCCUCCUUCACUCAUUCAACACGUUUUUAUUGCAGGUGGUAAAUCUAGUGAGGGCAGCGCCACGAUGAGCAGGAAUCCAUCUAUACCUUCGGCUGCUGCUUCAUAAAAGAUAAACAAUCUCUCUGGACCUUAAUGAAACAGGAAGAACAAAUCUGACUCCAUAUUAUGUCUGUUCCUUUGGCUCAAACCCUGGGCUGUGUUUCCUGGGCUUAGCCAUACUAGUUCUGCACCUUCUGUAAAAGAAUGCUGCCUAGAGCCUGAAAUGGCCAGGAGAGCCCACUCUCCAGGCUCUGAUCUGUGAGGGUGUAACACUUUCCCCAUUCACGUACAGAUAAAAAGUUGCAGAAUAAAAAAUAACAUUUGUUUUGUUGGAGGUUUACAGGAACACCAUGACCUGACCCACUUGGAC